rnacentral:sRNA from 1 species
UUCUCUUCUUCAACAUCAAGAACCGGAAUCAGAAGCUGAUAAAGAUGUCGAGUCCAUACAUGAACAACCUUAUCAUCCUUGGAGGGAUGCUCUCCUAUGCUUCCAUAUUUCUCUUUGGCCUUGAUGGAUCCUUUGUCUCUGAAAAGACCUUUGAAACACUUUGCACCGUCAGGACCUGGAUUCUCACCGUGGGCUACACGACCGCUUUUGGGGCCAUGUUUGCAAAGACCUGGAGAGUCCACGCCAUCUUCAAAAAUGUGAAAAUGAAGAAGAAGAUCAUCAAGGACCAGAAACUGCUUGUGAUCGUGGGGGGCAUGCUGCUGAUCGACCUGUGUAUCCUGAUCUGCUGGCAGGCUGUGGACCCCCUGCGAAGGACAGUGGAGAAGUACAGCAUGGAGGUAAGCCCUCCAUGCCGGCAGGAGCGAAGCCUGCAGAUGCAGCCCCUGACACAUGAGGACAGUGAGGCUGCACAGCUCCCAGACUGCCCAGUACCCCACUGGGAACACUUCAUCAGUUCCAUUUCCUUCCAUUUGAGACAUCUAAUUCCAGGGAGGCCAA